AUUGAACGCUGGCGGCAUGCCUUACACAUGCAAGUCGAACGGUAACAGGUCUUCGGAUGCUGACGAGUGGCGAACGGGUGAGUAAUACAUCGGAACGUGCCUAGUAGUGGGGGAUAACUACUCGAAAGAGUGGCUAAUACCGCAUGAGAUCUACGGAUGAAAGCAGGGGAUCGCAAGACCUUGUGCUACUAGAGCGGCCGAUGGCAGAUUAGGUAGUUGGUGGGAUAAAAGCUUACCAAGCCGACGAUCUGUAGCUGGUCUGAGAGGAGAAUCAGCCACACGGGGACUAAGAACCGGCCCAGACUCCUACGGGAGGCAGCAGUGGGGAAUUUUGGACAAUGGGCGCAAGCCUGAUCCAGCAAUGCCGCGUGCAGGAUGAAGGCCUUCGGGUUGUAAACUGCUUUUGUACGGAACGAAAAGCCCCGGGUUAAUACCCUGGGGUCAUGACGGUACCGUAAGAAUAAGCACCGGCUAACUACGUGCCAGCAGCCGCCGUAA
rnacentral:rRNA from 1 species